rnacentral:rRNA from 1 species
UACAGAGGUCUCAAGCGUUGUUCGGAUUCAUUGGGCGUAAAGGGUGCGUAGGUGGCGCUGUAAGUCGGGUGUGAAAUUCGGAGCUUAACUCCGAACUGCAUUCGAGUACUGCCGUGCUUGAGGACUGGAGAGGAGACUGGAAUUCGAUGGUGUAGCAGUGAAAUGCGUAGAGAUCAUGAGGAGACCAGUGGCGAAGGCGGUCUCUGGACAUCCUGACACUGAGACAGAAGGCCAGGGAGCAAACGGG